UGGUCCAUUCUAAUCCCUGCUGGCCAGCCUAUGGCCUGGCAGACUUCGCUUGUGGACCAAAGCACCCUAGAAGUCUCCCCUGGAGUUGAGCAAGGCCUCUUCUGUGCUUAUGCUUGGGCACUUCUUGGGCAUAU